GAAUAUGGAUCAAAUGCUAAGAACGCGGCGUCCUGCCUCAACGCAUUUGUGACCUGCUUCCUGCAGG
rnacentral:sRNA from 1 species